ACCGCUGACAGCCAUCGCGAGUUGCCUUUGUUUUGUAAAUAUGUUUUCCGCUGCAAGUUUUGGUGAGCAGCUGCCUGCAAACAGAAACUUUGUCAGAGCAGCCUUUUAAUACAGGUCUCCUGCGCUAUUACUCUUUGCAAUAAAGUACACACCCCUUUCGAAAUUGAGCUCAAUGCCUCGUCAAAGAGCCCUCAUCAUAAAGAGAACUCGUUUGCCCGGUCCUUUGAGUACAUAUGGUUCUUUUUUUUUGUACGUACGCGCCUUUUAUUUUUGGCGCUGUGUCUUUUGUUUUUGGUGCCUCCCAUACAUAAGCAAUUUCCCAAUCAUUCCGUUGCUAUAUGGCAGACUCCACUACAAAACUCCCUCAAACUGCGCCGGUUCUAGAAAUAGUACAUAGCUUUGAAUGUUGUGGAUGUCACACUGCUGUAUAAGGAAUCCUUCUGGCGCUUUGCUGCUUCCUGCAGAUCUGACUCUGUCUGUCGCUGCUCCCUUAGUUCAAUAUAGGGAUCGAUUCGCGAUUGCGCUAAGAUAUGUCGGAGGACGCUACCAGGCCGGAAAGGACGCGGUGCUUCUUGGGUCGAUCGACAGACAAAAGCAUGUUCAAUAAGUGUGAAGUUUCCAGGAGGACGUGGAGGACGGUAAGCCUCUCCGCCCACCUACCGUAGGUUGGAGGGUCACUUCCGAUUCGGCUUCCCGACACUCCACGAGGACGUGGAGGACGGUCAGCCACUGCCGGCAUCUACCACUGAUUCGAG